rnacentral:lncRNA from 1 species
UGGAAUUUCAGAGUUCUAAAAUGAACCUAAAAAGUUACUUCAGCAUCCUUAGAAAUAAGUUGUUAAGGCAUGAACAUUUGAGUUCAUCCAAAGUGUUAUCAAAAGGUCUCAUCAAAUUAUUUUAUGUAGAAGAGCACCCAAAUGUUAUUUCUUGCUGUUCCUCUUCUUUUCCUCAAGAGAAAGAAGGUUGAAAACUGAAAAUGAUGAAGUUGAAGAAUGAAGUCAAUGAGUGUUAAGAAGAGAUUCAUUUAUCCUUGAAAAAUGAAAAAGUAGAGUGCUGGUGGUGAUCAUGUCUUCCCUUCACCCAUGGGGACUUUUCAUUUAUCGCUGCCACUCCAGCAUGUUCACUAUUCUCUGUAGCAUGAAAAUCUGAUAAAGCUCAUGAGGGGAGAGAAAACUUAACUUCAAUAUUUUCCUGCUGAGCCUGAGAGUGCUUUGUAUACCCUAGCAAGAUGAAAAUCUUAGCUGCAGCAUCAGGAAGAGGACACCUCACUUUAUCCUACAUUCCUAUCUCAGUCAGGAAAGUAGCUCUAGAGAAGGAACUAAGAAGUCAAGGCCUUUUGUGAAGUUGCUCUGUUAUCUCUGUGGCCCCAAAGACCAAAAUGAUGGAGAAAAUGAAACCAGGAUGAUUUCUGACAUCUGCUUCCACUCCACCUUCUUUAACCACUUCAUCCACAUCUCUCUUAGCUUCUCACAUAAGUCUCACCUGGAAUCAUCUUAUUUACACCAAUAAAUUUACCUACCACCUGCCUGUUGAUUGCCAAA